UACGAAGGGUGCAAGCGUUACUCGGAAUUACUGGGCGUAAAGCGUGCGUAGGUGGUUUGUUAAGUCUGCUGUGAAAGCCCCGGGCUCAACCUGGGAAUGGCAGUGGAUACUGGCAAGCUAGAGUGCGGUAGAGGGUAGUGGAAUUCCCGGUGUAGCGGUGAAAUGACGCAGAUAUCAGGAGGAACACCAAUGGCGAAGGCAGCACUCUGGGACGUGACUGACGCUGAGACGCGAAAGCGUGGGGAGCAAACAGG
rnacentral:rRNA from 1 species